AAUAGUGUGCUUGAUUAAAAAGGCCGCCUUGAUAGGGCGGACAAUGAGAAUUACCUCUCCUCUAUUA
rnacentral:tRNA from 1 species